AGAGUUUGAUCCUGGCUCAGGAUGAACGCUAGCGGCAGGCCUAAUACAUGCAAGUCGAACGAGAGUAGCAAUACUCUAGUGGCGCACGGGUGCGUAACACGUAGGUAACCUACCUUUUACCGGGGGAUAACGAUGGGAAACCAUCGCUAAUACCGCAUGAGACAGUAGCUGGGCAUCUGGCAGCUGUUAAAGAUUUAUUGGUAGAAGAUGGGCCUGCGGCUGAUUAGGUAGUUGGUGGGGUAAGAGCCCACCAAGCCCAUGAUCAGUAGGGGUUCUGAGAGGAAGAUCCCCCACACUGGCACUGAGAUACGGGCCAGACUCCUACGGGAGGCAGCAGUAGGGAAUAUUGGGCAAUGGCGGAAACGCUGACCCAACCAUGCCGCGUGCAGGAAGAAGGCGCUCAGCGUUGUAAACUGCUUUUGCCCGGGAAGAAAAGCUAGUACGCGUACUAGAAUCGACGGUACCGGGUGAAUAAGCACCGGCUAACUCCGUGCCAGCAGCCGCGGUAAUACGGAGGGUGCAAGCGUUGUCCGGAUUUAUUGGGUUUAAAGGGUGCGUAGGUGGCUUUUUAAGUCCGGGGUGAAAGGCGGUGGCUCAACCAUCAGCAGUGCCCUGGAUACUGGGAGGCUCGAGUAAGUUUGAGGCCGGUGGAACGGGUGGUGUAGCGGUGAAAUGCAUAGAUACCAUCCAGAACACCGAUUGCGGAGGCAGCCGGCUAAGACUUUUACUGACACUGAGGCACGAAAGCGUGGGGAGCAAACAGGAUUAGAUACCCUAGUAGUCC
rnacentral:rRNA from 1 species